AGCGGAUGAGAGGAGCUUGCUCCUCGAUUUAGCGGCGGACGGGUGAGUAAUGCCUAGGAAUCUGCCCAGUAGUGGGGGACAACGUUUCGAAAGGAACGCUAAUACCGCAUACGUCCUACGGGAGAAAGUGGGGGAUCUUCGGACCUCACGCUAUUGGAUGAGCCUAGGUCGGAUUAGCUAGUUGGUGGGGUAACGGCCUACCAAGGCGACGAUCCGUAACUGGUCUGAGAGGAUGAUCAGUCACACUGGAACUGAGACACGGUCCAGACUCCUACGGGAGGCAGCAGUGGGGAAUAUUGGACAAUGGGCGAAAGCCUGAUCCAGCCAUGCCGCGUGUGUGAAGAAGGCCCUCGGGUCGUAAAGCACUUUAAGUUGGGAGGAAGGGCUUACAGCGAAUACCUGUGAGUUUUGACGUUACCAACAGAAUAAGCACCGGCUAACUUCGUGCCAGCAGCCGCGGUAAUACGAAGGGUGCAAGCGUUAAUCGGAAUUACUGGGCGUAAAGCGCGCGUAGGUGGCUUGAUAAGUUGGAUGUGAAAUCCCCGGGCUCAACCUGGGAACUGCAUCCAAAACUGUCUGGCUAGAGUGCGGUAGAGGGUAGUGGAAUUUCCAGUGUAGCGGUGAAAUGCGUA
rnacentral:rRNA from 1 species